ACAAGAAACCACCCCAAUUAUAUCGAGACGAACACAGACUGCCAGGCUUGUGUUCGGACUUUGAAAGCACAGGGGAAUGUAUAAGAAGAAGAGCCGGGGGAUCUGCCGGAGGACUUCCGUUAAUGAAAAGAUGUUUGAUUUCAGAAAAACCGUGAUCCUUUGCCAAGAAACUUGGGGCUGUGACGAUAUCGAUUGAUCGACAGUUUUGGACGCACUUUCCGGCCAUUUUCUUUUCGUAUAGGUACUACUAUAUACUACAUCUAUAUAAUAGCACUGGCUUCUUCCCUAGCUCCUUUUUUUUUCCUUCUUUUGCUUUCGUCGUUCGGUGUAUUUGGCAAAAGCCACCAUCAAUGCCGAUGCCAUGGCGCGGUUCCAUCCCAUUAUCGUUUUCCACAUUCUCCCGAUUUUAUAGGAAUAAUCUUACGCCAUAUAAAAUCUCCCUUCUUCUUCUUCUUCUUCUGCUUCUUUGUCCAACGUAUUACCGAGUCCGAACAGGGUUUUUUUUCCCAACGUGAAAAAAAAAAGCAAUUCACGCAAACUACUAUAAUAGGAAGAAGAAAAAAGGAACAGUAAGAAAUGGCUCUGGCGUGUCACGACGUGCCGAGCUCUGCACAAUCGUCGGCUAAUUUGAUCACAAAGUAUUUUGAGAGAGAGAGAGAAAAAUUACACGAGAGAUUGUCGCCAGGGCGUGGCCCUAUUAUGCCCUUCUUCUAGGUCUUUGAGAGUAGAUAAUAAGCAGCUGAGUGCGUAGAUAAGCGACAAAAUCACGGAUAUGCUAUACUUUGCGAAAUCAAGUCAUUCUAGACCCGAAAAGUGUGUGAUUCGUUUCUUCUUUUGAGUUGGACGUUGGAGUUGCUGGACCGAUUCGUUCAGAUUAUUCCAGUCACGUCGAUUCGACAAGUCCGCAAACGCCAAUAAUUUGUCUUCCUUCUUUUUCUUUUUUCUUUCCCCCGGCUUUGUUGAUUCAAUAAAGAAAAUUGAGUUUA